AGUGUGUUUCUUUCCUAUUAUUAGAGAUUGGCACAUGCACUACUUUUGUUUAGAUUUUUUUUAAUUAAUGUGUUUUUCUUUUUUUAAAGCAAACGAAGAAACACCCUUGUCGACAAUGUGACAAAUCUUUCAGUUCAUCCCAUAGUUUAUGUCGUCACAAUCGUAUCAAGCACAAAGGCAUUAGGAAGGUUUAUACAUGCUCGCACUGCCCAGAUUCAAGACGUACUUUUACCAAGCGAUUGAUGUUGGAAAAACAUAUUCAAUUGAUGCAUGGCAUUAAAGACCCUGAUGUAAAAGAAAUGACUGAAUUAACUAGUAUGGAGGAAAGGGAAGUAAAAGAAGAUACAAAGGUUCCUAGUCCAAAGCGUAAACUGGAAGAACCUAUACUGGAAUUCAGGCCUCCACGAGGCGCAAUCACACAACCACUGAAGAAGCUAAAAAUAAAUGUUUUUAAGGUUCAUAAGUGCGCUGUCUGUGGCUUUACAACAGAAAAUCUUCUCCAGUUUCACGAACAUAUUCCUCAGCAUAAAUCUGAUGGCUCUUCAUACCAGUGCAGGGAGUGUGGACUCUGCUACACGUCUCAUGUGUCUCUCUCCAGGCAUCUCUUCAUUGUACACAAGCUGAAGGAGCCACAGCCAGUAUCAAAGCAGAAUGGAUCCAGGGAGGAUAAUCAGCAAGAGAAUAAACCCAACCAUGAGGAUGAAUUGUCUGACAACACAGUGUUGGAGAGAAGAUGCAAAGUGUGCUCAAAGACUUUUGAAACUGAAGCGGCCUUAAAUACUCACAUGAGAACACAUGGCAUGGCCUUCAUUAAGUCAAAAAGAAUGAGCUCAGCUGAAAAGUAAUCAGUUCAUUGGCAUAUAGAAAUCUCUCUCCACAUUGGAAUAAUAAUGACAUUUUUGUUACAGAAAGUUCAAGGUAUAAUAGUGUUAACAGUACUGUUCAGGCUGUUGCAAUAUAUUCUGCAUAAUAACGUCCCCCUUCGCCUCAUUGUCUGUACCCUCAAAACCACUGAAGCAGUAUUUGAGUUGAAAAGAGUUUGUAUAUAUUUAAGCUAAUAACUUUUAUACUCUUUGUUAUGUGCUUUUAUUGGUAUCUAGUGGAAAAAAAAGUUUUUUUAUUUUGUUUCUGUUUUUUGUAGUAUGUUUCUCUAAAACAGAGUUCUUAAUGCUGGGACAGUUUCUUAGGUUCUCUUAAACUGUUUCUUAUAUGAAUGUUUCUGAAAGAAAGUUUAGCAGAAGGCAGUGCUUGGAGGGGAAAAAGGAAGAAAGUAAGCCAAGGGGAAAUGUUGAAUUUCACAGGACUCGUGCUUCUAAAUGUGUUAGGAAGCUGCACAUGUAAAGUGCAGUGCUGAUUUAGAUGUCAACACCAAAACAGAUGCAGAUCCCCCAGAGUAAUAAAGUACUUUUGAAAAAUGUAAUUGCACAAAUAUAUAUACGUAUAUAUAAUGAAGUAAUUUUUAGCCAACAGGUGCUUACAGUCAAAGCUCAAAUAGUUGUAAAAGGGCUGGGCUGCUCUAGAUUAAACAAGUAAGAUGUAAUUACAGAAAUAGGCAUAUACUUAUGAUUUUUUUGUCAUGUAAUUUAUUAAACGUAUAGAAGCGAUUACACAGCAUUAUGUAUUUUCCUAUACUUCUGGUUAUCAAAAGAAAAUAGUUAACACUUGCUGCCGAGGUUGGUGUUUCCCAUCUCUGUAAGCUAUUGCCAAAUGUUCUGGUGCUCAGCGUUACAUUCAACCACAGCCAUCAAGAAGCAAACACACCACACACCAGCCUACGUGAGUAGGGGCUUCACCAUUAGCACAGACCUUACAGAGCUAAUUCAGCCAUUUCAGAGUAUAUCUAACAUCACUAGUUAUGCUUUCACCAAGGACAGAAAGGUACCAUACUGUCCCUUUCGUAUAUGGUUCUCUGUAAGAGUUAUAUUUUUGUUUUGGUUUUGCAUUUUAUACCUUGUAUGUAUCCCUACAAAACUGUUUUGUACUUUUUUUUAAAAAAACAAAUAGUUUAUAUAUAGAUAGCUGCAUGAUAUACAGUAGUAAUUGUUCAUUUCCUUAAAGUUUUCCUGCUGUCAGAUGUUACUAUACACUAUGCCCAUUACGACUGUAUUAAACACAUUUCAUAUGUAAAUAAA